AUUGGAAGACUGUGGUUAAAGGCCAUUUGACGCGAAAAAAGUAUUCCCACAAAAAGUUCGAGGUUAUGUCGUAAACACUUUGUGGAAUCUGGCUAUGAAAACAUUAGUAAAUACACAGGUGUCAAACAUUAACAUAAAUAUCUGAAGAAAGGUGCUGUACCAUCUAUAUUUUCAUGGAAUAUGAAACCAGUUUCUGAAGAAACAAAAAGUAGAGAACAAAGGUUACAAACUCGUAACCUUAAAAAAUAGCUUUUUAGCCUGCCCAACACUUCCCAAUACUAUGAAGAUAUAGUACCCCUUGAAGAACACAGCAAUGUGCAUUUUGAUUCAAAUGUCUCUCAAGAAAUUCUAAUAGAAAAUAAUAACUCUAGUAUAGAUGAAACAAUUACAAGGCAUCAUAUUACUAUUGGAACUCAAACAUCCAAUAUAUUAAGAUUGUUUUCUACAGAGCUAUUACUUGCAGACGAUGAGACAGUGCAAUACUACAUCGGGUUGGAAACAGCAUCUAAGUUUUCAUUCGUUUUAAUCACACUUUUGCCAAUGUCAAAUGAUAUAAGGUAUCGCUGGAGUAGAGUGGUCGGCAUAUCAAUAGAAGAUCAAUUUUUUUUGUUACUAAUUAAGCUUAGAAGAAACAACAGAUUUUGAAUUAAGUAAAAUUUUCGGUGAGCUUCACCAGGGGGAUUAUUAUCAUAUGUUUCAAACGGCUACGCUGGUUCUGCAAGUGAUCGACAGAUAGUAGAAAGAAGUAAGCUGCUGCAGAUUUGUGAUUCUGGAGAUAGUAUUAUGGCAGACAGAGGUUUUAAUAUACAGGAUCUGUUUGCCUCUAAA